UACGGGGGGGGCAAGCGUUGUUCGGAAUUACUGGGCGUAAAGGGCGCGUAGGCGGCCUGCUAAGUCGAACGUGAAAUCCCUGGGCUCAACCCAGGAACUGCGUCCGAUACUGGAAGGCUUGAAUCCGGGAGAGGGAUGCGGAAUUCCAGGUGUAGCGGUGAAAUGCGUAGAUAUCUGGAGGGACACCGGUGGCGAAGGCGGCAUCCUGGACCGGUAUUGACGCUGAGGCGCGAAAGCCAGGGGAGCAAACGGG
rnacentral:rRNA from 1 species